UGGUUAAUGAGGAUUGAGAUUCUGGAUUCAGUCUCCUGAGCGUUUAUUGCAAAAAAAGCUGCGAAAUAAAGCUUGGCUCAAAGUGACUUGGCAGGGUCCUUUUAAGGAAGUCUUCCCAUUUGAAACGGUUUUGUGGCUGGGUGAAUCAGUAACUGAACUGGCAUCCGAGCUGGAAUCUGUGUGCUUGGAGGCUGCAGUCAUCUGCUUGUCCAGAGAGCUGCUGAGUCAGCCAAGACCAGAGGGACUGACGGAGAUCAUCUGUCCCAAGAACGGCAGCGAGCGAGUUAAUGUUGCCUUGGUUUACCCCCCCACUCCUACUGUGAUCAGCCCUUGUUCCAAAUAAACCAUCAGUACUGGUGCCAAAGGUUUUCCACUGGGCAGAAGGUGGCUGAUGCUCUACGGUGUUCCCGUCUCUCCGGUUGUGGAGUUGCAUGCCGAUGGGGAACAAUGGGACUUGGGACUCCGAGAUGCUGCGGGGCUGGGGCAGCUCCCUGCUGGGGACCUCGUGGCUGGAAGCGGGCACAAUCACCUGGGAGCUGGGGACGACAAGGAGACACGAAGCAAAAGGAUUGCUGCGGAUGGCAGGGCCGCUGGCCCGAGGGAAAGCUCUGGGGAUGGGAUUCUGUGGACCCACUGAUUGUGUGUUGAAAACCCAUUUGGAUCUCAUGAUGAAUGUAAAAAAAUGUUCUUGAUACCAUUUAACUCAGACCUGCUUGGAGGAAAGCCUCUUGAAAUGAGCUGUAGCAGGAUUCCCUGGAUUUGUUCCUGGACAAGAAGAAAACAGGAACUUGUUGCUGUGCUGUUGCAUGGAAUCCACGUUGCAAAGAAAUCACCAACUGGAAGCCUUCUCCAGCCAGAGGCCCGUUUCCCAGCGGGGUGUGCAAGUGCCGGAGGAGCCAGGGGACGGAGCAGACGCCACCUCGCCUGGUGGCAGUGCCACCUCGGCAGGAGCACGGCACCGCCCGGCCCUUGGCAAGGGCUCGGUCCUCCGUGCGCUGAAGCCGUGACGCCGGGAGCAGGGCAGUACGGAGAGCAGUCGAGUAGGGUCUGCUUCACUGUGAAACCAUCAUCGCUCAUCCGCCCGCCGUUCAGUAACUGGCGUGACCAUGUUUUCGUUUCUAUUUGUUUGUUUUGUUGUUGUUUUUUUUUUGUUUUUAAAUACGCAAAAGCCAUUUAAUUUUCUAUGCAGCUCAGAAAUGUCUCCCGUUUGCAGCUGUCAGGUAAGAGAUCGGUGCAGGAGAACCGUGCCGAGUGGCUGCUAGCCCUCUGGCUUCUGCCGUUUGCUCUCUUUUUAAGGAAGCGUCCUGGGAUCCUUUGCACACAGUGUCCCUUCGCUGAGCUCCUCUCUCUUAGACCCCACGUAACAGCCCUGAGCCCCAGGGAUGCGUGCCCUGUAUGUUCGAAGGAUUUGUCAUUUUUCCUGAGUCAAACCACAAGGAAAGAGGGCUUAAAGGUGCUGCCCUAAGAGCAGAGACACGCAGCUCAGAGCACUCUUCAUUCCUACUCUGUUCUUGUCCCUGCUCGGAGAGUUACUGAACUGUUAGCAAUGGCUAAGGCCCGUUGUGGAGCACCCUGCAGCCUUUCCUGAAGUUUUAUUAUGAAGAGGGUGGGAAGGACUUGGGGUAUGAGUUGUCUCUCUGUGGAGCUGACAGUGACUUUUGACCCCUUUGGAGUAGGAGGGGAAUCUCCUGGUACCAGACGCUCACUUGACUUGAGAGGACUUGCUGGUUUUGCUCGUUGGUUUGCAGAUCUCUUGCUUGCCGACCAGUUGGUUUCCUCCUCAAACUGGUCCGUACAGGUUUGGGAGCAGAGCUGUGCGACUGUCAGCAGCUGGAGCACGUCCCGGAGUGCCUCGUGUUACACUUUGAAGCAAGAUGUGGGAUUCAAGCCUUCAUCCGUCCACUGUGAAACUCCCAGCAGCUUUGCCUUCUGCUGGGUCCGCGUAAUGCAGGAGAAAUGGCAUGUCCCUAAGCAGCACAGAUAUGGUGAGGUAGGAGCCCAAAGGGUGCUGCAUACCGAGCUCUUCUUAGGGCUUGCAGGAGUACCUGGAGGCCUCUGACAACUGCAGAAGAUCCUGGAUGGUGGCUUACCUCUGCUUUAGCCGUGCUAAAGGCAGAAGGUCACAGAUAUAAGAUUGGUACCAACCUGCCCCAUGACCGGGACGGGUUUGACGAAUUUCCUCUCUACAUUCUGUCUCUGCUCUGACUUUAGGGGAUUCGGUGUUAAAGCAAAACAGAAAGAGAGACCAAAUCAGGAUUUAACCUACCUUGCAGUCUCUGAAAUCAAACUGAAGAGGCUGGGGGCUAUGGAAACACGCCAUCUCCCUUGCAGCAUCCUGAGAAGCAUUUAGCUGUGCUGUAGCACUGGACGUGACACGGGGUCCCCGUCCUUGUUCCUGUCCCUUUGUUCCUCUGACCUGGUUAAAGUUUGUCAGAGUAGUAGGGGUCCCUCGCUGCAAAGGGACAGAAUUGGCUCCGUUAAAAGGAACCGGUGAUGGUAUGGACACACCAAGUGAGGUGAGGGAAUCCUGGAGUUCAGCUCGCCUCCCCCAGCAGCCUUUGGUUGGGAUCUUGGGCUGCCAUCCUUGGAAGGGCAGUGGGGGGGAGAUGGAGAUGCUGCACUGCAAUAAGCACAAGAAGAGGCGAGCGAACAGGCCUCAGUGUAGCACUCAUCACAUGCUUCAUGGCUCAGUUCAUGAACUAUAAUUGCAGGUAUUCACAUGAUCUACAUAACUGGGCAGGACUCUGCACACACACACAUGCAUGCCCAGACGUACAUGCACCACACCCACACAUCCUCACCAAAAUGACUGAAAAUAAAAGUGAUGUAAAUCUCAAGGAGAGGUCAGCUGUUUGAUUUGUCUUCUUCUCUUCCAGUGCCUCGUUGGGCCCUGCCUCUGGAAGGGUCUGGGAUUAAUUGUAGCUCUUCUCUUCUCUUCUUGUGGAAGGAGAGCUACUAUCAGUGGUCAAGCAGGCGUUACAGGGAGUAAGGAGCUGUCAGCUAGCUGCUAUUCUCCUUAUUUAUUGCCUUAGGGUUGCAGCCCAGUGAGAGGGAAGCAUAAAACCAUAUGUUGUAAGCUCAUGUCCAGAAUUGUCUGUGGUCCCUGUGGUGAAUAAAGAACCAGAAGCGCUUUUCCCUUCUGUGGCAGAGCUGACAGCACUGGCUAACUGCAGGGGAGGUUCAGGGGACUAUAGAAGGUGAGGUGGCUUCUUGGCUGGCAUAAACCAUGAGAAGCAUUAGGAGCCACAGUGCCUGGUGGGCCAGGCAGCUUGAUUUGGGAUAUUUAGACAAGAGCAAGCAUGUAUGUGUGCAGCAUCAGGAGCGGAGGUGCCGUGCUGCAGAAGGAGCUCCCAUAGAAGGCAGGGAUCUCAAAAGGACUUUGAGGCUUGUGUGUCACUGCCAAGCCCCCAGGAGCCUUUGUUACGCUCUCCUGCAGGCUUCUGGCUGUAGGUUUGACUGCAAAGCCUCAAAAACAUUUUUGGCUUCAUCAGUGAAUGUGCCCAG
rnacentral:lncRNA from 1 species